UUCAUCAAGAGUAGCUGAGGGAUUGGCCCUGUGAAGCUACGGCAACCACACUAAGAGAGUGAACGGUGCCAAAUCCAACGGAAGUUAUUCCGACAGAUGAA
rnacentral:ncRNA from 1 species